UACGUGCACGAGGGAGCCGGCGCGCGUACACGUCGGAUUUCUUGCGCGCUCCUUCUGAUUAGUCGGGAGAGAGUGCGCUUCCUCAACUUGCUGCCUACUGGUCAGAGGCUCAAGUUGUGCGUCCGAAGGAUUUCGGCCACUUUUGACAAAAAUAGCCAAGAGCAGUGUCAAGAAGUUCACAGGUUCGCACGAGACGGUUACGUAGAUAGGCGCGAAUCCAGACCGACACUCUGAGCUUCCGACGGUUCGACGCUGCCUACGGUACGUCUCUGGUCAGCCAGGGAAAGUAGAGUUUAAAGUUGUGUGACGGACAUUCAUUCAACGAAGAGGCAACAGAGUUCGGCAGGCAACGACAUGAAGGUUGCCCUUGGGCUUUUCAGCGCCAUUCUGGCGGCUAAUUUGUACUUAGCUGCCUCCCAGAUUCCAGCCGCACUACCCGUCACCUGCCAAUAUCCAGUAGACCUGGUCUUCCUCAUUGACAGCUCGGAGAGUUUCAGGACAGGUGGUUUCGAGGAU